rnacentral:lncRNA from 1 species
AAUUUGAAGUUAAAAAGUUCAGUUUGGUUUACCUUAAAACUUUUAAAGGACGUGUACCCCUAAGUUGAUAUUUUUCUUCGUCGAUAUGCAGGGUGGUGCCAAGAAGUUGGUGAUCUCAGCUCCAUAAGCCGAUUCACCUAUGUUUGUCGUAGGAGUAACGUAAAGAUGAGUCUUGAUCUCCUAAAGUGGAGAUUGCAAAAAAGAUGAGUCAGAUAUCCCUCUCCCUCUGACAAGUAUCUUCUCUUAAGCCAUUUAGCAAUGGCACCAAGUGUAAGAUAUAGGUUAAAUGGAAGGGAUUUAGCACUAUUAUAACUAGAU